rnacentral:rRNA from 1 species
UACGAAGGGGGCUAGCGUUGCUCGGAAUCACUGGGCGUAAAGCGCACGUAGGCGGUUCUUUAAGUCAGGGGUGAAAUCCUGGAGCUCAACUCCAGAACUGCCUUUGAUACUGGGGAUCUCGAGUCCGGGAGAGGUGAGUGGAACUGCGAGUGUAGAGGUGAAAUUCGUAGAUAUUAGGAGGAACACCGGUGGCGAAGGCGGCUACCUGGACCGAUAUUGACGCUGAGACGCGAAAGCGUGGGGAGCAAACAGG